AAACUGACUAUUUAGACUAUUUUGUGCAGGCUACGUCAUUUGUGUACCUAAACAAGAUGAUUUUCAAGGAGUGUAUGUGACUCUGCACAUAAAAGAUUUAUGUAAUUAUGUAUUAUGGAGACUUAUUUUCAUGUUUAUACUGUUUUCCAUGGAGCAGCUGUCCAUAACCAGGAACUCCUCAUCCGCUUGCUGAUCAAUACAUACACUUCUGUGUAUUUGUUCAUCUAUGGAGGCUCCCCAACAUCUUACUCCUAGUUGUGCUGAUCACCCAAGCCAUCUGGUUGCAGACAUAUUCCAUAAGGUUUGUCAGUGAGGCAGCGAUCUGGCUGUAUUGCGGUACAAAUCACCUGUAAUAUCCGGCCAAGCCUAAGAAGGAUUGGACCUGUUUCUUUGCCUUUGGGACAGGCCACUUUUCGAUAGCAUCCACUUUGGCCUGUAGGGGGUUGAUAGUUGCUUGACACACCUGGUG